UUUGUACCGAGCGGGGGCCGAGCUGUCGGCUGAGAUUGUAACACGAUGCGUUACUGACCGUUGAACCUGAUCUGGUUAAUACCGGCGGAGGAAGAGGGCAACCGAGAACA
rnacentral:ncRNA from 2 species